UGGGGAAUAUUGCACAAUGGGCGCAAGCCUGGUGCAGCAACGCCGCGUGAGGGACGACGGCCUUCGGGUUGUAAACCUCUUUUGGCAGGGAAGAAGCGAAAGUGACGGUACCUGCAGAAAAAGCACCGGCUAACUACGUGCCAGCAGCCGCGGUGAUACGUAGGGUGCAAGCGUUGUCCGGAAUUAUUGGGCGUAAAGAGCUCGUAGGCGGUUUGUCGCGUCUGCUGUGAAAACCCGAGGCUCAACCUCGGGCCUGCAGUGGGUACGGGCAAACUAGAGUGCGGUAGGGGAGAUUGGAAUUCCUGGUGUAGCGGUGGAAUGCGCAGAUAUCAGGAGGAACACCGAUGGCGAAGGCAGAUCUCUGUGCCGUAACUGACGCUGAGGAGCGAAAGCAUGGGGAGCGAACA
rnacentral:rRNA from 1 species